AUGAACCACAGCCACUUUUCAAGAAGUUACCUGUCUCAACAGAAAAGGACCACCAGCCACCUCCAAGGCGACCACGGAGGGCAGGGGGCUGGCCCAGCCCAGGGCCAAGUCCAGCCCUUCAGCUGUGAAUGCUCCCAGCCCCCAGCCAGGUGGAGGUCUCUCUCUCUCCCAGAGACCACGGCUGCUCCCCUCCAGCCCCGUCUCCGCCCACGCGUGCCCCUGCUGUACACGCCCAGCACAGGGACCCUCCCUACCCUGACCCUGGCUAUGAGAGCCGCCCAAGUCCAGAGUCCCCUCCUGGGGCAGCCUCACCACAGGCCUGGCUCCGCGACCCCUGCCCCCAGCAUCUCCACGGCCGCAAGUUCCGAGGGAAGUUUCGCCACAUUCCCACCUGAGCCACGCUUUGUUGCAGGUCAGUCACGCCUUCCCCCCAGACCCCGCGGCCCCCACCGCAGCACCUCGACCCUCUGCACCCCGGCAGUGACUGCAGGCACCGCUUCCUUGCAAAACGCCCGCAUGUCAAAGUUCUCGCAUCGCGGUUGGACGCGCCCUCCCGGCCCUGCUGUCUGCUGGCUCUGCAGUUUUCCAAAUGCGGACGAUGCCACGAGCCAAGAGAAAACUCCGAAGCACCCCCGGCUGGAGCCACGCGGCGCCGGCACCAUGGCUCCCCCUCGCCGCGGGCACACCCCCACCGCGGCCGCCGACAACAGCAAACACAUCCUCUGCAAAAGCUUCUCCACUAAGAUGAGCCUAGCUUACCCAUCAGAGCCCCUGAGCCAUUGACAUCCUCCUGCGGAAGAUGGUCAGCAUCACCGGUCACCAGAAGAGUGACCGCAGCAGGACACUGCCUCACACCACCGGGAGGGCUGGAAACGACAGGAGCCCCAAACUGGAAAGUAACAAGUGUUGCUGUUUUUGGUGAGGAUAUAGCGAAAUUUGAACCUCCAGUGUUGCUGAUGAGACAGUAACACAGUAUGGCUGCUGUGGAGAAUGGUCAGGGAGCUCCUCAAAAAUUAAACCAUCAAGCCAGCAACCAUGCUCCUCGGAGCGUGCCCCCACCUCGCCCGAUGACAGGGACCUAAGCAGACACUCGCACUGGAGCACUCACAGUAGCCGAAGGGGACCCAGAACCGGCUGCCCAUGGAUGGACAAACCCACGUAGGCCACACCACACACACACCUGGGAGAUGCGAUGCUGACUGAACGACACAAGCCACCUGGGCAGGAGGAGCCACAGAGAUGGAGCAGAAGGAGGCUUCCGGGGCCAGGGCACAGGAGAGCAACCACCUGAUGGGAACCCAGCCCUCUUCCCAGGGAGGGGAACGUUCUGGAACCAGAGAGAGGUGGUGGUGACUGUGCUAAAUGCCAGGGAAUUGUUCACUAUAAAAUAGCUCAUUUUAUGUUUGUGGAUUUCACCCCAAUUAAAAAACAACAAAAAGAUAAGUGGAGCUCAGGGUCCAGCCACACCUCCUCUCCCCACUGACCCCACCACCUGGACACGGGCAAACCCCCAGGCUGUGAAGACCACGUUCCUGCUCUCCUGGGGAUCUGAAUGAUGGAGAGGGUAUCCCCAGCUUCACCUCUCUCAACACCCCAGCACCUGCCUCCACUUGGGAGGGGCCAGG
rnacentral:lncRNA from 1 species